GUCUUAUUGAUAAUAAUUUUAAGUCUAAUCUGCCCAAUGAGUUAUUAAAUGGCUGCAGUAUUUUAACUGUACAAAGGUAGCAUAAUAAUUAGUUUUUUAAUUAAAGACUGGAAUGAAUGAUUUGAUGAGAUAAUAACUGUCUUAGUUUAAAUAAAAGAAUUUUAUUUUUAAGUUAAAAAGCUUAGAUAAUUUUAAAAGACGAGAAGACCCUGUAGAAUUUUAUAUAAGGUAUUUUUUAUUAUUAUUAGAAUAAAGGAUAUAUUAAAUAUUUAUAUUUAAUUGGGGUGAUUUAAAAAUUAAAAUAACUUUUUAUUAAAUUUAUUCAUUAAUUUAUGAGUGGUUGAUCCGAUGUUAUUGAUUAUAAGAUUAAAUUACCUUAGGGAUAACAGCGUAAUUUUUUUGGAAAGUCCUAAUUGAUAAAAAAGAUUGCGACCUCGAUGUUGGAUUAAAAUUAAUAUUUGGUGUAGAAGCUAUUAUAUUAGGUCUGUUCGACCUUUAGAAUUUUACA
rnacentral:rRNA from 1 species